CUCCACCUGACGAGUCCAAAAUAGGGUGAAACCUGCCUCGUGGAU
rnacentral:hammerhead_ribozyme from 1 species